rnacentral:misc_RNA from 1 species
AAGGGGAUUAAGGGCGUGGAAUUUUUUGAUCUCCUUGUCUUCUCCGUUUCUUUUUGUCUUUUUUCUAUUUUCUCUUUUCCUGCCCUUCAGGGGCUUUUUUUUCCAGGGAUUUUGCCUUUUUUCAGCGGAAUACGUAGUAUUGUUGUGUCAUUUGGGCUAAUCUUUGUCUUCAUGCUUAUUGGGUAAUUAAACAAUUUGCCGCCGAUUUCAUUGUCUCUAAUAGUGAAAGACAGCCCAAGCCCAUAUAGGGGUUGUUCAGCUGCUGGACAUUUGA